GGGAGUGUAGCUGAGUGAUAGAGCACUUACCUAGCAUGUGUAAGGCCCUGGGUUCAAUCCCCAGCACCACCA
rnacentral:tRNA from 1 species